UACGUAGGGGGCGAGCGUUGUCCGGAGUUACUGGGCGUAAAGCGCUUGUAGGCGGUCCACCAAGUUUGGGGUGACAGUUGCCGACUUAAUCGGCAAAGUGCCUCAAAGACUGGCGGACUUGAGGGCCACAGAGGGACAUGGAACUCCAGGUGUAGUGGUGAAAUGCGUAGAUAUCUGGAAGAACACCAUGAAGGCAGGAGAGUGUCCUGGGUGGUCGCUGACGCUGAGAGGCGAAAGCCAGGGGAGCGAACGGG
rnacentral:rRNA from 1 species